ACUUAAGUAGUUUAAAUAAAACAUUAAUCUGUGGAGUUAAAAAUACAAUAAAGUCUUAAGUA
rnacentral:tRNA from 1 species